rnacentral:tRNA from 2 species
GUGGGUGUAGCGCAAUGGUUAGAGCGUCAGGCUGUGGACCUGGAGGUUGGGGGUUCGAAACCCCUCACCCACCCCA